rnacentral:rRNA from 1 species
GAUGAACGCUGGCGGCGUGCCUAAUACAUGCAAGUCGAGCGAACGGACGAGAAGCUUGCUUUUCUGAUGUUAGCGGCGGACGGGUGAGUAACACGUGGAUAACCUACCUAUAAGACUGGGAUAACUUCGGGAAACCGGGGCUAAUACCGGAUAAUAUUUUGAACCGCAUGGUUCAAAAGUGAAAGCCGGUCUUGCUGUCCCUUAUAGAUGGAUCCGCGCUGCAUUAGCUAGUUGGUAAGGUAACGGCUUACCAAGGCGACGAUGCAUAGCCGACCUGGGAGGGUGAUCGGCCACAGUGGAACUGAGACGCGGUCCAGACUCCGACGGGAGGCCGCAGUAGGGAAUCUUCCGCAAUGGGGGGAAGCCUGACGGAGCAACGCCACGUGAGUGAUGAAGGUCUUCGGAUCGUAAAACUCUGUUAUUAGGGAAGAACAUAUGUGUAAGUAACUGUGCACAUCUUGACGGUACCUAAUCAGAAAGCCACGGCUAACUACGUG